rnacentral:rRNA from 1 species
GUGGGGAAUCUUAGACAAUGGGGGAAACCCUGAUCUAGCCAUGCCGCGUGAGCGAUGAAGGCCUUAGGGUUGUAAAGCUCUUUCAGCUGGGAAGAUAAUGACGGUACCAGCAGAAGAAGCCCCGGCUAACUCCGUGCCAGCAGCCGCGGUAAUACGGAGGGGGCUAGCGUUGUUCGGAAUUACUGGGCGUAAAGCGCGCGUAGGCGGACCAGAAAGUUGGAGGUGAAAUCCCAGGGCUCAACCUUGGAACUGCCGUCAAAACUCCUGGUCUGGAGUUCGAGAGAGGUGAGUGGAAUUCCGAGUGUAGAGGUGAAAUUCGUAGAUAUUCGGAGGAACACCAGUGGCGAAGGCGGCUCACUGGCUCGAUACUGACGCUGAGGUGCGAAAGCGUGGGGAGCAAACAGGAUUAGAUACCCGUGUAGUCC